CCCAAUUCAGCUCUCCCUCCCGCUCUCCGACGAUUCGCAUCUUCCCCCGGCCGCGAGUUAGGGUUAGGGUUAGGGUCGCAUCUUCCCCUGGCCGCGAGUUAGGGUUAGGGUUUUGAAACGUUCUCUUUCGUCUCUACCCGGGGCACCACUGUGCACUCCAUUGCCGGGUAGCGUAGCGAUGGAAGCGGAGAAUAGCAGCAGCGCCGGAGGCGGAGGCGGAGGCGGGGCGGCGCCUCAGCCGCCGGUGGUGCCGCCGUUCCUGACGAAGUGCUACGACAUGGUGGACGACCCGGCGACGGACGCGACGGUGUCGUGGAGCGAGGGCAACAACAGCUUCGUCAUCUGGGACCCCCACGCCUUCGCCCGCGACCUCCUCCCCAAGUACUUCAAGCACAACAACAUCUCCAGCUUCGUCCGCCAGCUGAAUACCUACGGGUUCCAUAAAGUCGAUCAUGAUAGGUAUGAGUUUGCCAAUGAGGGAUUCCUAAGGGACCAAAAGCAUUUACUAAAAACAAUUGUGAGGAGAAAACCCUCUCAUAAUGCCGCUCAGCAUCCACCUUCACAAGCAAAGAAUACAUCUGUUAAUGCGUGCAUUGAAGUUGGAAAAUUCGGACUCGAGGAGGAAAUUGAACGACUUAAGAGGGACAAAACUGUCCUCAUGCAGGAGCUAGUAAAGCUUCGGCUGCAUCAACAAAGCACUGACCAUGAAUUACAAAGUUUGAGACAGCGUCUUCAGGGAAUGGAACAGAACCAGCAGCAGAUGAUGUCGUUCUUGGCUAUGGCCGUUCAGAGUCCAGCUUUUCUGGCCAAGCUGGUACAGAAGAGUGGGAACAGCAACAGGUGGAAAACAGAGGCGAAUAAGAAAAGAAGGCUUCCUGCAUUGGAACAGGGCAAUAAUAUAACUUAUCCAGAAUCUUCUUCUUCCGACGGACAAAUUAUCAGAUACCAGCCCCUAGUGACUGAAUCAUUUAAUUCAUCCAUGCCACCAUCAGUGCCUAAUUCUCAUAUCUCAGAGCAAUUGCAAAACAUGGCAAAUAGUGCGAAUAAUUUAUCGGAAUGUGGGGAUUUUAUUUUGCCAGAUUAUUUGGAACAGCUUUUAGCUAGCCCGCCAUUGGAUAAUGGUGUCGGGCCUGACCCAGAGUCCUUGGGCAUUCUAGAUCUUUCGAUCGAUGAUUUUGACUUCUCGGAGCAGGACAUUCAGAUGGAAGUGGCACAGGACAUGGUUCCUGAUGAAAUUAAUGGAGGGAGUCAGUCGAGACCUGAGAUGGAUCACGUACAUGGGCAGUUAUAGCUGUUUACGUUGUCUUGAUCAUGUAGGAAUCUUGUACAGAUCUUCGUUUCACUUAGAAGAUUAAUCAUAGGUUGCUGGCUGCACUUGCAAGGAUAUAUCCUGGCAGAAAGUUUCGAAAGCGGUGACGAUAUCGUCAUUGGGCAUUCCAGGGUGGCUGCUGAGUAUCAGAAUGUGAUGUCAGAACUCGGUUUUGGUUUUUCUUUACCGAAAAUCGUCGAAUCUCUGAUAAAAGGAGCUCUCUAAUUCAAAAAUUGCGGAUUGGGGAGCGCGAUUUGUCUCCGAUCAGCAUUUUAAUGCUUCGAUCUGCGAGACAGGCCGUCUUGAAUGCCUCUUUGUCGAACUCUUGGUCUGAAUUCACUACGGGUCUCUAUGAGACUUCGCGGUUCCGGUUAUAGACGAUAUUCGUCUCGACCUGACACUAACUUGACUUCUACCCUUUCAAACCUGUCCAAGCUGAGCCGCUUCAAGAUGCUAAUAUUUGAUUAAAUGAAAGAAGAGGCUCCGGUGUAUAGAGAGGACCUCACCAUUUAAGAGGUAACCAUAGAAACGAUGGAACCCACUAUUUUUUUAAUUUUAUAUCGUUCUAAUUUUUUAUUUCCAGUGAAAUAACUGGAAGGAAUAGAAUACAAAAUCGUGGUUGGGAAGGUCAUAGUAGCAAAAGCCAUUGGAAUUGAUAUUUUAUAUAUCGGAAUAAUCCGUUUUGUUAUUAAUCGACCGGGGAAGGGGAAAGGGAUGACUGAAAGAAGAGAAAUCAAUUAGUUAUUCAUUAAGCUUUAAUCUGAUUCAAUGACCAGAGUUAAACGAGGAUAUACAGCUCGGAGACGUCGAACAAAAAUUCGUUUAUUUGCAUCAACCUUUAGAGGGGCUCAUUCAAGACUUACUCGAACGAUUACUCAACAGAAAAUGAGAGCUUUGGUUUCCUCUCAUCGAGAUAGAGGCAGACAAAAGAGGGAUUUUCGUCGUUUGUGGAUCACUCGGAUAAAUGCAGUAACUCGUGAGAAUAAGGUAUUCCAUAGUUAUAGUAUAUUAAUACACAAUCUGUACAAGAAGCAAUUGCUUCUUAAUCGUAAAAUACUUGCGCAAAUAGCUAUAUCAAAUAAGAAUUGUCUUUACAUGAUUUCCAAUAAGAUUAUCAAAUAAAGGAGAUUCCAAAGUAAUAUACAGGAAUGAUUGAAACAGAAUUCCCCGGAGAAUGAACUCCGGGAAGAUAUAGAAUAAAAAUAAAUUAAGAUAAGUAGUAGAGAUGAACGAACGUGUUUCAAUAAAAAAAAAUAUUUCUUCUUCUCCCCCAUUUUUUGUUUCUUAUAUUAUAACACAAGAAUCAAAUCUGGAUUCUAGGCCUUUUCGAACAAAACAUCAAUCUGAGCUUGAGUUCCAAUUGGAUUUUUGAGUCAAUUGAGGAGUAUGCCUAUUUAUUUCUGGUUCUAGGACCAGUAGUUCUUG